CACAUCGAAGUGUGCAAGCCAGAAAGCUGGGCUGGGCUGGGCAAGCAGACAGCAAAGAAAGAGCAAGGUGGGUGGGCACAUGGGGAGGGUGUCCAGAGCAGGGCUGAGUUGCCCAGUGCUCUACCUCCCUGCGUAGAGUGUGGACCCACAUCCUGGGUACAUUCUCCUGGGGUAGUUACAUGGGUAGUCACAUCAGGGAGCUAUUGGCUCCUUCACAUGAUAUUCAAGUUACCACGUACACUUUGUGGACUGUGAGUAGGCAUUAUGUUUGGUUUCAGGGGGGGCUAGUGGCCAGAAAGGGUUUAUAUCUACUGAAAUAACAGGCAGCACACUUCUGUUAAGCAGCUGUUACUGAGUAGGUGUGGGACUGCACUGAAAAGCAGAAUUUGCUUGGGAGAAGGACAAUGAUGGGAAUCACAGAAGCAGGCAGGAUUUGUUCCUGCUCAGGGAUGGAAGCUCAUGCAGUAAGUGGCAGCUGAGAUGAGUUAUAAGAGAGGGUGAUGGUUGGAAAGGUGUUCACACUGGAAGAAACACUACUGCUAAAAAACAUGGUCUCUGGAAGAUGGCAGGUGAAUGAUGUUUUCUUUGCCUAGAAGAUGAGCUCCAUAUGAGAGAACAGAGGGGGCCAAGGAAAGAUGCGAAGGUGGCUCAGGGCAUUAGACUCUGUGGGCCUCUCCAGGGUGUAGUCAGAGUUCAUCAAUAAAUAUUUAUUUAGCGCCUGCCAUCUGCCAGGCAUCGAGCAUGUUGGAAUAAAUAUGACACAAUUCUUGCCCUUGCUGGGCUCGUAGAUAGUCAUGACAACAGUGUUAGGAGAGGAGGACACACAGAAGGUCAUGCCUAAUCUGGGGGAGAUAAGGAAGGCAUCACAAACAGGUAGUGUUUAAAGUGAGUCCUCAACUAACAGUAAAUGCCCAAUUGCCAGGCAGAUAGUGGGAUGGAGGUGGAGGUGGGCUGGGGUGCUGAAGGCGUGUCAGGUGGAAGAAGCAGCAUGGCCCAGGUGGGAGCCACGGGUGACAGCGGGCAUAUUUGCGGAACCUCGGCCAAGAAACAUGGAUGAAGCACCAGUUAUAUGUCUGUCCCUGUUUUGUAUUCUGGGGAUACAGUGGAUAAGAUCGGCAAGGCCUUGCCCUCAUUCUACUUGGGAGGAGAAGGGAAGGCAGACAAUAA
rnacentral:lncRNA from 1 species